UAGCUGAAAGGAGCCACUGAAACGCCUCUCUACUUAAACCCAUGCACCAAACAGCAGUAAAUGAGGCACGGACGGGUGUCUGGAGCACACCCCUCGGCAGAAGUAAAUCUGAGGGAAGAUUACUGGUGUGAUUAUUCCUUCCCCUGCUAUGUAAAGCAAGGCAGAUUGUAAAGCAGAUACCUCAAAGGUGGUCAUCUCGAGAGUGCCGAAGAAAAAUGUCAAGUGGGGUAAUCUUGUCCUGUCCCCCAGCACCCUGCUUAUUGAGCCUGGUUGGAAAGCCCCUGCAAGUCUGAAGUCAGAUUCAGAAGAAUCAAGGAAACAUAAGCUGUCCUAACGGCUAGAGUCACUGAGAUCAAAGACACUGGAUAAGGGAUUAAUAAAAAGAGGAAAGGAACUCCAACAGUGAACUUGCAUUAAUUAAAGGCAAAAGAGAUGUGGAUACAAUUUUCAGGUUGCUGUGUAUCUGCUGUUCCUAGCACUCACUGUAGGGACUUAAUCCUCAUCUACCUUGACUGCACACUACAAGGGUUACUUGGCAUUUCUUCAUAAGCUGUAAGA